AUGCGUGGCCUCGCCGACGAGCUGGUCGCGGCUGGCAAACCGAUCCAAGAUGACGAGCUCAUCUCAUACAUCCUUCACGGGCUGGAUCUGGACUACCAGCCCCUAGUCUCGGCCCUCAACGCUCGUGUCAACCCGGCCUCCCUCGAUGGGAUCUUCUCCAUGCUCAGCAACUUUGACCAACACAUGGCGCACUUCCAUGGCUCGGGCGGCAGCGGCUUCAAGUCCUCUGCGAACAUUGCAUUUUGCGGUCGUGGUGGUGGCUCUCACUCCCGUGGUCCUUCCCGUGGCAGGUGGAGGUCAGGUGGCAAUGGGAACAACGGCAAUGGCGGGCGUUCUGGCAACAAGGGUCGCCGUGGCGGUGGCUCUGGCAGGACUCGCCCGAACACCCCACGCUGUCAGAUCUGUGGCAAGUCGGGCCACACUGCAAAAGAUUGCUGGUACCGCUAUGAUGAAGACGAGGACGACUCGCUCCCGAGAUGA
rnacentral:rRNA from 1 species